rnacentral:rRNA from 1 species
UGGGGAAUCUUGGACAAUGGGGGCAACCCUGAUCCAGCCAUGCCGCGUGAGUGAUGAAGGCCUUAGGGUCGUAAAGCUCUUUCGCCUGUGAAGAUAAUGACGGUAGCAGGUAAAGAAACCCCGGCUAACUCCGUGCCAGCAGCCGCGGUAAUACGGAGGGGGUUAGCGUUAAUCGGAAUUACUGGGCGUAAAGCGCACGUAGGCGGACCAGAAAGUUGGGGGUGAAAUCCCGGGGGCUCAACCCCGGAACUGCCUCCAAAACUAUUGGUCUAGAGUUCGAGAGAGGUGAGUGGAAUUCCAAGUGUAGAGGUGAAAUUCGUAGAUAUUUGGAGGAACACCAGUGGCGAAGGCGGCUCACUGGCUCGAUACUGACGCUGAGGUGCGAAAGUGUGGGGAGCAAACAGGAUUAGAUA